rnacentral:rRNA from 1 species
CUACGGGACGCUCCAGUGGGGAAUAUUGGACAAUGGGCGAAAGCCUGAUCCAGCAAUACCGCGUGGACGAUGAAGGCCUUAAGGUUGUAAAGUCCUUUCAGUAGGGAAGAUAAUGACGGUACCUACAGAAGAAGCACCGGCUAACUCCGUGCCAGCAGCCGCGGUAAUACGGAGGGUGCUAGCGUUGUUCGGAAUUAUUGGGCGUAAAGCGUACGUAGGCUGUUUCGUAAGUCAGUUGUGAAAGCCCAGAGCUUAACUCUGGAACUGCAAUUGAAACUACAGAACUAGAGUAUAAUUGGAGAUGGCAGAAUUUCUAGUGUAGGGGUGAAAUCCGUAGAUAUUAGAAGGAAUACCAGUGGUGAAGACGGCUAUCUUGGUUGUAACUGACGCUAAGGUACGAAGGUGUGGGUAGCGAACGGGAUUAGAUACCCCAGUAGUC